GUUUACAGUUCAAUGGUUAGGAUAAUUGCCUUUUAAGCAGUACACCAAGGUUCGAGUCCUAGCCGCUGCAGCU